rnacentral:rRNA from 1 species
GCUGGAGGUAUCAGAAGUGCGAAUGCUGACAUAAGUAACGAUAAAGCGGGUGAAAAGCCCGCUCGCCGGAAGACCAAGGGUUCCUGUCCAACGUUAAUCGGGGCAGGGUGAGUCGACCCCUAAGGCGAGGCCGAAAGGCGUAGUCGAUGGGAAACAGGUUAAUAUUCCUGUACUUGGUGUUACUGCGAAGGGGGGACGGAGAAGGCUAUGUUAGCCGGGCGACGGUUGUCCCGGUUUAAGCAUGUAGGCU